rnacentral:sRNA from 1 species
UAGCUGAGUGAGGCGAACUGAGGACCAGCCCCGAGGAGAUUUCUGCCCUGUGCCCUCAUGCCGUGCUGCACGGACAGCAAAGAGUCCUCAACUCCAUGACUUGCUGUUCCACCAUCCCUAUGAGGACACACAUGCCAGGCAACAGAGGACCAAGCAGGACCAGUGCAGGGCAGGGGGAGCCCAGAUGACAGCUGCCUUGCCCUCCUUGUCUGUUCCUACCCCUCCCUCCCUGCCUCUUUGUUCCUCUACUGAGCCAUAGGGUGCCCCAAGCAACAGGGCAUAUUCUCAGGUGACAAGCUGGCAGGUCCAGUGCUGGCCUGACACCUGGUGACCAGCCAAGGACCCAAGGAAGCCACAGGGAGAGCCCCCUAGCUGAACUAUUCUAUUUUAUGAGUUGAGCUUGCCCUGAGACCAGUAGCUAGGAUGGAUAUUGGUCAGCCCCAGAAAAUGAAAACUAAGAUAUGGGAGGUCUCAAGUUCGCAAUAGAUGCUAUUCUGACCCUUGUCAUCGGCCCCUACAUGAAGCUCACUCCCCCCCCCCCAA